UACCAGCACCCCGAGUGGUCGGGACGAUUAUUGGGCCUAAAGCAUCCGUAGCCGGUCAUGCAAGUCUUCCGUUAAAUCCAGCCGCUCAACGGUUGGGCUGCGGAGGAUACUACGUGGCUAGGAGGCGGGAGAGGCAAGCGGGUACUCAGUGGGUAGGGGUAAAAUCCUUUGAUCCAUUGAAGACCACCAGUGGCGAAGGCGGCUUGCCAGAACGCGCUCGACGGUGAGGGAUGAAAGCUGGGGGAGCGAACGAGG
rnacentral:rRNA from 1 species